rnacentral:rRNA from 1 species
GAAGUAAAAAGUCGUAACAAGGUUUCCNGUAGGUGACCUGCGGAAGGAU